UACAGAGGUCUCAAGCGUUGUUCGGAUUCAUUGGGCGUAAAGGGUGCGUAGGCGGCGGGGCAAGUCUGAUGUGAAAUCCUGGGGCUCAACCCCAGAACUGCAUUGGAUACUGCCUUGCUAGAGUACUGGAGAGGGAACUGGAAUUUACGGUGUAGCAGUGAAAUGCGUAGAGAUCGUAAGGAAGGCCAGUGGCGAAGGCGAGUUCCUGGACAGUAACUGACGCUGAGGCACGAAGGCCAGGGGAGCAAACGGG
rnacentral:rRNA from 1 species